rnacentral:rRNA from 1 species
UUUUGGGAUCAAACGUGGUCCAAUUGCAUUGACAGCUAGGAUGUUGGCUUGGAAGCAGCCAUUCAUUUAAAGAGUGCGUAACAGCUCACUAGUCGAGCGAUCGGGCGUGGAUAAUAAUCGGGCAUUAAGAAUAGUACCGAAGCUAUGGGAUUCGUAAGAAUCGGUAGGGGAGCAUUCUAAUCAGCAUUGAAGGUGAACCGUCAGGUUUGCUGGAGCGAUUAGAAAAGCAAGUGUAGGCAUAAGUAACGAUAAUGGGGGUGAGAAACCCCCACACCGUAAGACUAAGGUUUCCUGAUCAACGCUAAUCGGAUCAGGGUCAGUCGGGGCCUAAGGCUAAUCCGAAAGGAAAUGCCGAUGGACAACAGGUUAAUAUUCCUGUACCCGCGUAUUCAGUGAUGGAGUAACGGAGUAGUGAAAGGUCUGCGCACGGACGGAUGUGUGCGUUAAAGCCAGUAGAUAUAGUUGCUGCAGGUAAAUCCACAGCGACUGUCGAAGGUGACAGUACCGUGAGUCUUCGGACAAGCGGAUAAUGACCCUAAUCAUACUUCCAAGAAAAACCUCUAAACUUAUGGAUACGCAGCCCGUACCGCAAUCCGACACAGGUAGUCGGGGAGAACAUCCUCAGGUGCUCGAGUGAAUCAUGGCUAAGGAACUCGGCAAAUUGACCCUGUAACUUCGGGAUAAAGGGUGCCCCUCUCGGGGGGCCGCAGUGAAAUGGCUCAGGCGACUGUUUAACAAAAACACAUGGCUUUGCUAAAUCGAAAGAUUACGUAUAAGGCCUGACACCUGCCCGGUGCUGGAAGGUUAAGAGGAGAUGUCAGAAGCAAUUCAAAGCAUUGAAUCGAAGCCCCAGUAAACGGCGGCCGUAACUAUAACGGUCCUAAGGUAGCGAAAUUCCUUGUCGGGUAAGUUCCGACCUGCACGAAUGGUGUAACGAUCUGAGCACUGUCUCAGCCAUGAGCUCGGUGAAAUUGUAGUAUCGGUGAAGAUGCCGAUUACCCGCAACGGGACGGAAAGACCCCGUGCACCUUCACUAUAACUUUGCAUUGACUUUGGGUAAUUGAUGUGUAGGAUAGGUGGGAGACUUUGAAGCGGUGGCGCUAGCUAUCGUGGAGUCAACCUUGAAAUACCACCCUUUAAUUAUUUGAAGUCUAAUCCCGUCCAACGGGAAACAGUGCAUGGUGGGUAGUUUGACUGGGGUGGUCGCCUCCAAAAGAGUAACGGAGGCUUUCAAAGGUACCCUCAGCACGCUUGGUAACCGUGCGUAGAGUGCAUUAGCAUAAGGGUGCUUGACUGUGAGACCUACAAGUCGAGCAGGGUCGAGAGACGGAUAAAGUGAUCCGGUGGUUCCGCAUGGAAGGGCCAUCGCUCAUAGGAUAAAAGGUACGCCGGGAUAACAGGCUGAUCUCCCCCAAGAGC